rnacentral:snRNA from 1 species
GGGGACUAUCUGGAUGCUACAUCUGUCACCCCAUUGACCGGCAGGGUUGAUUAGGCUGAUGUGGCGGUCUGGGCAGGUAUUCCUUUCCUUCCCC